UUCUACCGGACGUGAACUGGACUCUCCGUGAGCUGGCCUGUGCUGCGGGGCUGCUGGGUGUCUCUGCAGGUGCAGGUUACUGCAUUUAGCGCUACUUGUGGAGAUGAAGCGCUCCUCCUGACCAGCUCACGACUCUGUGGAUGUGCUGGGAGAAUCACUUGAUACUCCCUCUGUCCUCCAGGUCAAUGAGCUAAACCUGCUGCUCUGUCCCACUGAACCUCACCAUGACACUUCAGUUGUCCUUCUG